ensembl:lncRNA
GGCAGUCACUAUCUCCACAGCAGAAUUAGGGUGCCUAUGAGUUCUCCAUCUGUCCUGGUGGCCCCCAAGAGAGGUCAGCCACCACAGGAGUCCUCCAUAACCUUCAGAAUUACACCCAGUGACUCCUGGGCCGCACGUUUUUAUCAAAAAUGUCAUUUUGGGCAGAGAAGAAUGGCAAUAUGGGAUCACACCUGGAAAACAGUCUUCUUCCGUGUCCUUUAAGUUACUUCUCACAGAAACCUAUUCAUGAAAUCAACUCUGACAACAUUUGAUGUGCUUAAUGCCAUGAGUGCCGCCUCCUGACACAGAAGGUAGAAGGAAUCAUCCUGUUCUGCUUUUUGGUCUAUCUGCUUCUCAGUGUAAUCCACUCUAUUCUGAGGUUUUGGAUUUAUAUACACAUCACAGCCACAGGCAUGCAGGAGUGUAUUUUUAGAUCACUCUCUGAAAAUGGAGCAUCCACAUUUUAAAAAAUAAACUUGCACAGAGCUAAAGCUGGAAUCAAUGAGGGUGUGUGGGAUGGGGGUGGACAACCCUGCCUUCUUGUCUUCACUGACAACCACAUCUUACUCUCCCAAUGUGGAUUUCAGGAGAUUCUUUCAUUUUCCAACCUAGAAUGAGGGAUGCGGAUCUGAGCAACUGACAGGGUUGGAGUUUGCUGUUGAAGAAUUGAUUUCCAACUCCCCAUGGAAAUUUGGCUCCUGAUAAACGUCCUUGAAAACUUUAGGGUGUGCAUGUGUAUUUCAAGGGCCUCUUAAGUGAAAUCAAUCUCAUCACAGCAGACGCUUUUCAUGCUGUGAGAUCCACAAGUACUCCUCAUGUUGAACACAGUGAACUGCUGUGCAGGGACUUCUCAAAACAUGGGGAGAACAAACCUUUGCUCCCCAUCCUGCUUUUUCCUUUCCGUGCAUCCAAACAGCCCAGGAGGAUGUUCUCAAAGCUGAUUACUGUUGCCAGGGCAACUCGAGAUUGAUCCUUCACUCUAGUAAGCUCAACGGAUCCCCCUGAGGAUUGGAGAGUGUGAUUGGUGACAGCUGUUUGGGUGGGCGGGGAGGCUGUUUUGUUUUGUUUUUAUCAUUCGCACUAUCUGUUCCCAGCUCCAGAGAGUCAAACUUUAAGCUCUGGAGAAAUUCUCAAUUUGUUAAUGACUGUAGAUGGACUGAAAAGAAGAGGCCUCUGGGAUUAUAGGGGAAGACCUCAGUGGAAGAAACUUAACUUCCCAGGAUGGGGAAAGGGGAGGAGUUGGGAAGAAAAGAAGAGAUGGGAAACAAUUGUUAUUCCGCUGCUAAAGGGCCAAGAAGUCAAUCCUUUCAUCCAUUUGCCACCUAGGAAGAUGUAGAAAGGUAGGGGAGGAGAGAUGGGUGCUGCUGAGAUCAAUUGGAGUUCCCCAAAAAUAUGAAAGAGAAGAGGUUCUUUUCACUGAGUAUCUUGGACAAAGCCUUAAGGCAGACAGAACAAGGAAAUGUAUUAGUACCCCUGUCCCAGAAUUAACGGCAUUGCCAGUGUCACAAAUCUCUUAUCUCCCAGCUUAGACUCAGAGAUGAUCAAACCCUGCUAGAGAUUUAGUUUGUGCUUUCAGGAUAGCAGUCACUGUCACAUCUUUAUAUACUAUUGUGCUUCAAAGCCCUCCAAGAGCGUGUUUCUAUUACUCCAGCCUGCCUUCAAGAAGGAAAAAAAAAAAAUCGAAGGAGCAGAUUGUGAAGCAUUCCAGAGAGAAGAGAUUUGGCAAGUCAUCCUAUUUAAAAAAAUGUGUUAUCAAAAAUACUCAUUUGCCUUUCACCUAUUAAUUGUUUUCUGAUGAGCAGGGGUGGAAUGAACUCCAGGUUCACGAUUAGAUUUCCAGAGAUGAAAGCUCAGGCUCCAGUAUUAAUACUCUAAACAGUUCAUUGAACCUCUCUGAGCCUCCGUUUUAAUUUUUAUCACUCCUAAAAUGGGAAGCAUGUCAUUGUUAGAAAAGGCUUAUGAUGAGAAUUAAAUGUUAAGUGCCUAGCCGGUUACAAGCAAUUAGAAAAGUCCCUAUUAUUUUCUGUUAGAUCUAGCAACUCCCAAACAUGAAACUAUUAUGUUCAGAGGACAUAACAACAGAUUCCUGAAC